rnacentral:rRNA from 1 species
UGGUCAAGUUAUUAAGGGUGCAGGGCGGAUGCCUUGGCACUAGGAGCCGAUGAAGGACGUGAUAAGCUGCGAUAAGCUUCGGGGAGUUGCACGUAAACUUUGAUCCGAAGAUUUCCGAAUGAGGAAACUCACUUAGAGUAAUGUCUAAGUAUCAUUAAGUGAAUACAUAGCUUAAUGAGGGGAACUCAGGGAACUGAAACAUCUAAGUACCUGAAGGAAGAGAAAGAAAUUCGAUUCCGUAAGUAGCGGCGAGCGAACGCGGAUUAGCCCAAACCAAUAAAGUUUUCUUUAUUGGGGUUGCGGACAUAUCAUAACGAAGAGGUAUCGUAAUUGAAGAGGUUUGGAAA